GCACGACGGAGACAAGAGCAUGGCGCAGAGACACAACAGAGAUUGACGAAGAUGGAGAUUCGUGGAGGAGAUGCCGGUGGUGAAGCAAGGAAUCACGGGAUAGACUUGAUUUGGAGCUUCUCGUGGCUUUGGACCCGGAAACGGUAACCGGCGGAGCUGAGCACGGCCACGCAGACACGACUACGAGGAAUACGAAGCAUGGCUGAGAUCGACGGUUACGGAGGAAGAACAGAGCUGUGGCCACUGUAAUGAAGACGAGGUCACGGAGCGAGCCGCGUCAUCCGCUGUAACGUUCACGAGUUCUGGUGCGAUCUCUUGGAGCGAUCACAACACACCGCUCGCAUUCUCUACGUAAAGACGUCUUGAAGCUUAAGUGUUGGAGCGGG
rnacentral:lncRNA from 1 species